UGCGACAUCUUUUUCAAAGUAGACCAAUUCGCAGAAGAAUCGCGGACAUGGCAACUUUGCUUUCGUCACAAGAUAGCAAGUGCAAAGAGGAAAAAAUUACUCAGUUUUGUGGUUGUGGUCCCGAAUGUUGAAAGUAAAUUCAUGCUUCUGCUUUCUGUGUCAGUUAGGUAUUUGACUUAGAUUGGGACUCAAUGGAGCUGUCUGAAAGGUGCAGCAUUCCAAUGAAUGAUUAUGAGGAUGCUACAGGUUUACAGACCCCAGGUGCAGGGACACCCGGAACAGAAAACAUCUACCAGUCUCUUCGGUCUCCAAACAUACAGAGACAGGCAAAGCCACAUAACAGGAUGCAAUGGAAAACGCCUGUGUUCCGUCUACUCCUCUUCAAUGCACUUUUACUGAUUAGCAUUCUGGUAAUUGUUGGAGUUCACUAUUCCCAUUUCACCGGGGCAUUGUCAUCUAAAAAUGGAGCAUGAAGGAGCCCUAACUGCCAAUACGAGUAUGCUUAUGUCAGAUUUCAGACAGAAUGAAGAAGUGUGGCAUCUCCAUCACAAUGGGUUCUAUCUAUUCUGGCGGAGUGUGGGGGAUUGCUUAGCUGCUGAUAGCUUCUGUCAGCAGAACAACGCUACUCUGACCACAUUGCAGCCACAUAACACGGUUUGGUUGUUGGCCAGGGCCAGAGGACAGCACCUUUGGGUCCUUGAGCUGAGGGAUACGACCGAGGGUUCUGCAGAUGGUGCCACAGAGGAUGAUUCUGAAAAUGAUGCUGAUUGUGCCCUCUUGACUGGUGAUCUCACCCAGCCCUCAAUGAGCCCAGCCCACAUGAAGAGCCAGGGGUGGGUGUGUGAGAGGAAGGCCUCUCCACCACACGUCUCUGGAAAUCAUUAAGAUCGAAUGUAUUCCAUUCAGGAAGGAACCCAGCUUUUUGUCACAAUAUGAAUAGUUUUUUAAUUCCUUGAACAAUGUCCUUGUUUUAAUGACCAAAAUGUCUUGCUUAAUUUUGGUAGUUAAUAUGCUUUGAUUCUAUCCUGCAUUUCAGGGCAACCGCUUGUGUCAGUGAACACAAGAGGGUGCUAUGUAAUUGUAGAGAUUCAAUAAGGUCUGCAAAGAACAUUUUGUUCACAGGAGAACAUUAAUGAAACAUGCACACGUUUUCUUUACAUGCAGAAGAAGUCACUGACCUGUAGAUAAAACCAUAAGCUUGCUAGGCUUCUCAUCAUCAUUCAAAUGAUGACUGAAGCACUACAAAAUGUAGCUGAAACAUCUGUUAAAAAAAAUAAUAGUAAUUUAGCUAGGCAAGUCAGUUAAGAACAAAUUCUUAUUUACAAUGACGUCAGCCUACCCCAGCCAAUCCCGGAUGACGUUAGGCUAAUUGUGCGCAGCCCCAUGGGACUCCCAAUCACGGCUGGAUGUGAUGCAGCCUGGUUAUAAACCACGGACUACAGUGACACCUCUUGCACUGCCUGUGCCUUAGACCGCUGCGCCACUCGGGAGCCCAACACUUCAGAUAUAUUCUCAUCUAAAAAUGUACUUUUAUUUUAGUCCAAACCACAGUAGACUGUAUGAAGAAAUAACUGUAAAUGUUGAGACGUUUACUAUAAUUAGUUUAGCGAAACACACUUUCCAUAAAAAUGUAUCUUCGUGAAAUGUCUUCAGAUAGACCUGAGCUGAAACAUUAAACAGUCUCAAUUAUA